rnacentral:rRNA from 1 species
GGAUCAAUAUUUCGGUCAUGCCGUUGGUAUGCACUGUUAUCAUUGAUUUCUCACCUCCUAAAGAACCGUGAUGCCAUUAAUUUGGUGUUACGGGGAAUUAGGACUGUUACCUUGAAAAAUUAGAGUGUUUAAAGCAGGCUCACGCUUGAAUACAUUAGCAUGGAAUAAUGAAAUAGGACAUCCGAUUCUAUUUUGUUGGUUUCUAGGAUCGAUGUAAUGAUUAAUAGGGAUAGUUGGG